rnacentral:rRNA from 1 species
AUUGAACGCUGGCGGCAUGCUUUACACAUGCAAGUCGAACGGUAACAGGCCUUCGGGUGCUGACGAGUGGCGAACGGGUGCGUAAUGCAUCGGAACGUACCCAGAGGUGGGGGAUAACGCAGCGAAAGCUGUGCUAAUACCGCAUGUGAUCUGAGGAUGAAAGCGGGGGACCGAGCAGCAAUGUUUGGCCUCGCGCCUUUGGAGCGGCCGAUGUCGGAUUAGCUAGUUGGUGGGGUAAAGGCCUACCAAGGCGACGAUCCGUAGCUGGUCUGAGAGGACGACCAGCCACACUGGGACUGAGACACGGCCCAGACUCCUACGGGAGGCAGCAGUGGGGAAUUUUGGACAAUGGGCGAAAGCCUGAUCCAGCAAUGCCGCGUGCGGGAAGAAGGCCUUCGGGUUGUAAACCGCUUUUGGCAGGAACGAAACGGUGUCCGCUAAUACCGGGCGCUAAUGACGGUACCUGCAGAAUAAGCACCGGCUAACUACGUG